rnacentral:rRNA from 1 species
UACGUAGGGUGCAAGCGUUAUCCGGAUUCACUGGGUUUAAAGGGUGCGUAGGUGGGCAGGUAAGUCAGUGGUGAAAUCUCCGGGCUUAACUCGGAAACUGCCAUUGAUACUAUCUGUCUUGAAUACCGUGGAGGUUAGCGGAAUAUGUCAUGUAGCGGUGAAAUGCUUAGAUAUGACAUAGAACACCAAUUGCGAAGGCAGCUGGCUACACGAAUAUUGACACUGAUGCACGAAAGCGUGGGGAUCAAACAGG